GUGGGGAAUCUUAGACAAUGGGCGCAAGCCUGAUCUAGCCAUGCCGCGUGAGCGAUGAAGGCCUUAGGGUUGUAAAGCUCUUUCAGGGGGGAAGAUAAUGACGGUACCCCCAGAAGAAGCCCCGGCUAACUCCGUGCCAGCAGCCGCGGUAAUACGGAGGGGGCUAGCGUUGUUCGGAAUUACUGGGCGUAAAGCGCACGUAGGCGGACCAGAAAGUCAGGGGUGAAAUCCCGGGGCUCAACCCCGGAACUGCCUUUGAAACUCCUGGUCUUGAGGUCGAGAGAGUGGAGUGGAAUUCCGAGUGUAGAGGUGAAAGUCGUAGAUAUUCGGAGGAACACCAGUGGCGAAGGCGGCUCACUGGCUCGAUACUGACGCUGAGGUGCGAAAGCGUGGGGAGCAAACAGGAUUAGAAACCCUGGUAGUCC
rnacentral:rRNA from 1 species